rfam:Escherichia coli ISC11, WGS project CBWP01000000 data, contig: c3
GAGUCGCACAACGAAGAGAACAUCAGGAUGAUGGCUCUUCACCUGGACACACCAGGAUGGUGUUGCAAGGACAGGCUUCAGGACGAAGCAAAGAGGAAGACGCUGGAUGCGUUAAAGGACACCUCCAGGACGGAGAAUGAGAGCCGGUCAGGAUGUUCGGCGGGUCUGGAUGGCCAGGAUACUUCAGGAUGAAGUUUUCACAUCGGGGUGAUGUGAGCAGGAUGCAAAAGUUCAGGAUGAACACGGUCGCAAGACCACAGGAAAAGUUGUCACGGAUGAGCAGGGAGCACUAAAAGUAGCUGGAAUGCUGCGAAACGAACCGGGAGCACUGUUUUUUUACAGUGCUCCCUUUUUUUAUU